rnacentral:rRNA from 1 species
UGAGUUCUCCCUGACUCCUUGAGAGUCCUGAAGGAACGUUGAAGACGACGACGUUGAUAGGCCGGGUGUGUAAGCGCAGCGAUGCGUUGAGCUAACCGGUACUAAUGAACCGUGAGGCUUAACCUU